GCGGGGCCGGCGGAGGAGGGGCCUCGGGGCGACGCGGGCUGGCGCGGCCGCCGAGGGAGCCGCUCCGGGAGAGGCGCUGAGCCAGAGCCGGCGACCUGGACCCUCGCUGGCGGUCGCUCGUGCAGGGCCGCUCUGGAGGCGGCUCUGCGGUGCGGGCCCGUGCGGAGACCGCGCCCUGGGACGCCGUCCUGCCGGCCCCCACCGCGGUCUCCGGGCUCUGUGGUCUCAGAGAGCAGCCUGGGCCCCUCUCCUCGGGCCAGGAGACCAGCGCGCGUUCCUCACAGGACAUCCCUGCCGCCUGCACCCCCGCAGACACACGCGUAAUGUCCACAGCCCCAGUGGAGACUGGCCCAGCUGGAGGCUGGCUUCUCCAGGCAUCUGGGCAGGUGACAGCUGGCGCGCACCGGACCUGCGGCCACCCCAGCCGGCAGAGCUGGCUUCCAGAGUGACCUCUCAACCGUCCUCUCCGCCCUUCCCUGGUGCUGCCUUCAAGGACGUCCAGUCGGCACCUGCUGGCCUUGGCCGGUCGGGAAUCCGUGCCCCCAGCCCGGGUGGGGACUGUGGGCCCCGGGGAGCAGGGCAUCACAGACUCCCCUGAUGGGACUGCAGCCUGCCAGGCUCCUCUGGCAUGGGAUCCUCCAGGCGAGAAUACUGGAGUGGGUUGCCAUGCCCUCCUCCAGGGGAUCUUCCCGACCCAGGGAUCAAGCCUGCGUCUCCUGCAGUAGCAGGCGGGCUCCUGACCACUGGCUGAGCCGCCUGGGAAGCUCUCAAGUGUACCAGCUCAGAGCCUAAACAACAUGCCUGCUCGAGUUGUCCUCCAAGAACUCGGCUUCAGCUGCCCCUGGUGUGAGCUGAGCUGUGGGACCACGGCCCCUCCAACUGGGCCGGCACGGGUGUCCACAGGGUGACCUUUGGAAGGUGCAGACGCCAGGCCCUGGUUCCACCUGCACAGACCCACGAUGGGACGCCGUUCCCCACCACCUCUCCCUAUUUCUUAUUCCUGAUCCCAUCAUGCCCCAGCCUCUUGCCUGCCCAGAGGUUCAUUUUCCUGUCUCCAUGCUUGGCUGCCUUCUGAAUAAACCCUCAAACCUUGGCAUCUCAGGCGUCUCCGUGGAGUGUGGCCUGCUCCGUGUCAGGUAAGACAGCUUGGUUCAGUGGCGUUAGCAGCUUUUCAAUAUGCAGUUAGCUGAGCGUGACUAACGCCAGUCGCCAUCACGGGUGCUGCAGCCCCAGGAGCUGGAGGCCUUCCGCCCUUCACCCCCAUCCUCUACCUGUGGCAACAUCCAGUCUGCUCCGUG
ensembl:lncRNA